AAUUUCGGGUAAUUGGGCAUAACUUAUGUUGUGUCAGGAAAGUCCAUGCUCGCACAGGCUGUGAUGCCUGUAGUGUUCGUGCUCAGUGAAAAAAUAAGCUGGGGUGCCUUCUCUUUUGAAGGUAACGGCGGGAAAACGUUGCUAAGGCUUCGGCUAUGCGCUAGUAUCCCUGAAAAGUGCCACAGUGACGAAACCAGUAUGGAAACAUGCUGGGUGGAACGCGGUAAACCCCUCGAGCGGGAAACCCAAACUACGGUAGGGGAGCUUCACAUAGGUAACUGAACUGAUUGUGGGGGAAGGUCUUUGACCUUGAGAUAGAUGAUUACCACGGAGUAGAUUGCGCCUGAGAUCUACAAAGUACAAAACAUGGCUUACAGAA
rnacentral:RNase_P_RNA from 3 species